UGGUCAAUAGCCGAAAGGCUGAACCAGCAACUUGAUGGAAUGAAGAAUCGAGGUCAUUCUCGGUUACCAUAUUAAAAGAAUGUGGGGCAAUACUGCUAAUAAUUCGAGGUAAAUUUUGAUAAUGACAUUAUUUAUUUCCCGGUCUUGACCAACUCAUGUGCCAGCAGUCGCGGUAAGACAUGGAAGGCUAGCGUUAUUCAUCUUUAUUAGGUUUAAAGGGUACCUAGACGGUAGAUAUUAGCCUUUAUCUUUAAAGAUAAUUGUACUUUGUUUACUAGAGUUUAAUGAAAGGAAUUCAGAACGGUGAGUGUAGGGAUAGAAUCUUUUGAUACCACUUAGAAACUGGUUUAGGUGAAGACAGAUUCCUAUGUAAAAACUGACGUUGAGGGACGAAGGCUCAAUAAAAGAAAUGGGAUUAGUUACCCCGGUACUAAGGGCAGACAAUGAUGAAUGCCAUAUUUAAGAAGAAGAUUUUUUAAAUAUAAAUGAAAGUGAAAGCAUUCCACCUCAAGAGUAAUAUGGCAACAUAUAAACUGAAAUCACUAGGCCGUUUCUGGAAUUCGUAGUGAAGUAUGUUAUUUAAUUUGAUGACCCACAAAGGACCUUACCACAAUGUGUAUAGUUUUGUACGUAAGUACAUUUCGGACAAGUGUUGCACGGCUGUCCGCAGUUGAUAUCGUGAGAAUUGAUUAACUUCAGUAAUUAACGCAAUCCCUGACUUUACUUAGAGUAAAGUACUAAUUUCGGUAGAUGAACCCUUUCCGAAUUUAAUAUAUGGGAGUAUGACAAGUCAUCAUGGCCAAACAUAAAAAAUGAUAGUAUUGUGGGCGAUAGACGUGCCACAUUUAAC
rnacentral:rRNA from 1 species